CUAAAAGUUCAAACAUUUUAUAAUGUUUUUAAUUUAACAAGGCAAGUCAGUUAAGAACAAAUUCUUAUUUACAAUGACCGCCUACCAAAAGGCCACAUGCGGGGACGGGGGCCUGGGAUUAAAAAUAUAAAUACAAUAUAAAUAUAGGACAAAACACACAUCACAACAAGAGAGACAACACUACAUCAAGAGAGACUUAAGACAACAUAACAAGGUAGCAACACAACAUGCUAUCAACAUGGUACAAACCUUAUUGGGCACAGUCAACAGUACUAAGGUCAAGGUAGAGACAAUACAUCAUACAAAGCAGCCACAACUGUCAGUAAGUGUCCAUGAUUGAGUCUUUGAAUGAAGAGAUUGAGAUAAAACUGUCCAGUUUGAGUGUUUGUUGCAGCUCGUUCCAGUCGCUAGCUGCAGCGAACUGAGAAGAGGAGCGACCCAGGGAUGUGUGCUUUGGGGACUUUUAACAGAAUGUGACUGGCAGAACGGGUGUUGUAUGUGGAGGAUCAGGGUUGUAGUAGAUAUCUCAGAUAGAGGGGAGUGAGGCCUAAGAGGGUUUUAUAAAUAAGCAUCAAUCAGUGGGUCUUGCGACGGGUAUACAGAGAUGACCAGUUUACAGUGGAGUAGAGUGCAGUGAUGUGUCCUAUAAGGAGCAUUGGUGGCAAAUCUGAUGGCCGAAUGGUAAAAAAACAUCUAGCCGCUCGAGAGCACCCUUACCUAACAAUCUAUAAAUGAUGUCUCCGUAAUCUAGCAUGGGUAGGAUGGUCAUCUGAAAUCACGGUUAGUUUGGCAGCUGGGCUGAAAGAGGAGCGAUUACGAUAGAGGAAACCAAGUCUAGAUGUAGUAACUUUAGCCUGCAGCUUUGAUAUGUGCAGAGAGAAGGACAGUGCACCAUCUAGCCAUACUCCCAAGUACUUGUAUGCGGUGACUACCUCAAGCUCUAAACCCUCAGAGGUAGUAAAAACACCUGUGGGAAGAGGGGCAUUCUUCUUACCAAACCACAUGACCUUUGUUUUGGAGGUGUUCAGAACAAGGUUAAGGGUAGAGAAAGCUUGUUGGACACUAAGAAUGCUUUGUUGUAGAGCAUUUAACACAAAAUCCAGGGAGGGGCCAGCUGAGUAUAAGACUGUAUCAUCUGCAUAUAAAUGGAUGAGAGAGCUUCCUACUGCCUGAGCUAUGUUGUUGAUGUAAAUUGAGAAGAGCGUGGGGCCUAGGAUUGAGCCUUGGGUUACUUCCUUGGUGACAGGCAGUAGCUGAGACAGCAGAUUUUCUGAGAUAGUUAGCAAACCAGGCCAAAGACCCCUCAGAGACACCAAUACUCCUUAGCCAGCCCACAAUAAUUUGAAUGGUCUACCAUAUCAAAAGCUUUGGCCAAGUCAAUAGAAAUAGCAGCACAAUAUUGCUUCGAUACAAGGGCAAUUGUGACAUCAUUGAAGACCUAUAAGGUUGCGUUGCCACAUCCAUAACCUGAGCAGAAACCAGAUUGCAUACCCAAGAGAAUACUCGUUUUCCCAACACUUUUGAUAAACAAGGCAAAAUAGAAAUAGGCCUAUAACAGUUAGGAUCAGCUUGAUCUCCCCCUUUAAAUAAAGGACAAACUGUCGCUGCCUUCCAAGCAAUGGAAACCUCCCCAGAAAGGAGACAGGUUUAAAAGGUCGGAGUUAGGCUUUGCGAUGAUGGGGGCAGCAACCUUAAAGAAGAAAGGGUCUAAACCAUCUGACCCAGAUGUUUUUUGGGGGUCAAAUUUAAAGAGCUCCUUUAGCACCUCGGACUCAGUGACUGCCUGCAGGGAGAAACUUUGUAGCGGGGCAGGGGUAAAAGAGGGAGAAGCAUCAGGGAUAGUCGCAUUAGAAGGGGUGGGAGAUGAGGAAAUGUUGGAUGGGCAAGGAGGCAUGGCUGAGUCAAAUAGGAAUCCUGACUUAAUGAAGUGGUGAUUAAAGAGCUCAGCCAUGUGCUUCUUGUCAGUUACAAUCACAUCAUCAACAUUAAGGGACAAGGGCAGCUGUGAAGAGGGUUUAUUCUCCAGGUCUUUAUCCAUUUUCCAGAACUUCUUGGGGUUAGACCCAGAGAGAGAGAAGUGCUCCUUAAAGUAACGAACUUUGGCCUUCCGGAUAGCCUGAGUGGGCUUAUUUCUCAUUUGCCUGAACGAUAGCCAGUCAGCCUGAGUAUGCGUGUGCCUUUCGCCAAAUGCAAUUCUUGAGGUGGAGUAACGCUACAAGAUCACGGUCAAACCAGGGUCUGAACCUGUUUUUAAUUCUCAUUUUCUUUAUGGGUGCGUGUUCAAUACCACAGAAAAUAUUUUAAAAAGUAGGGCCAAGCGUCUUCGACAUGAUUACAUUUAAGUUAAUGUUCUUGCAAUGUUCUCUAACUGGUUUGCCAUUGGGAUUGUACUCAAAUAGUCCGGAAAACGUUAAACGUUUUUCUGUGUGAAUUUCAGUAAUUCAGCAUAACGUUUUUUACAAGUUUCCUCAUGGUUCUAUUUAAAGUCAUGUUCUCAGAACGUUCAGAAACAAUGUUUUUCAGCAUAAUGUUUUCUACAGGUUUCCUGAUGGGUCUAUUUAAAGUCAUGUUCUCAGAACGUUCAGAGAACGUUAACAUUCUUCUGUGGUAAUUUCAGUACGUCAUCAUAACGUUUUCUGCAGGUUUCCUAAUGGUUCUAUUUAAAGUCAUGUUCUCAGAACGUUCAGAAACAACAUUCUUCUGUGGGAAUUUCAGUACUUCAUAACAUUUUCUGCAGGUUUCCUCAUGGUUCUAUUUAAAGUCAUGUUCUCAGAACAUUAGGAAAACUUUCCAUAAAAAAAAACAAGAAAACAUUAGUAACAUUCAGAGAACGUGCUAAGAAUGUUAUUUAAAAUAUAUACAUUCCGUUCUGACUCAACAAAACUCUACUAUGGAGCGAUUUCAGUGCCAACGUGUUUGAAUUUCAUAAUUUUUCAUUUUAUUAGAAUUCAUGAUUUGAAAUGGAAUUGAGUGAAUAUUGUAUUCCGUUUUAAAAUUCAAUUUAAUUCAAUAUGUAUGUAUUCAGUUUCAGUAUGGUAGAUAUUGCAUUCAUUGUCUGUGUAUCAAGUUUACAAACUAUAAUUUUAAGUUGAUCAAAAUUUCACAUAUUCAACUUCUCAGAUGCAUUGAGAUUCCGUUUUCAAGUCCAGUUCUUUAAAUUCAGAUUCAAAACCAUUGAGCUAUAAUAAGAACUAGACAGCCUCCAAGAUGGUCGGAUGUUUUUUUUCAAUGUAAUCUACUGACGGUUGCAUAUACCGGAUUCGUGGGCGCUGACAUCUUGCUAGUUCAGGUUUGAGGAGCCAAUUAGUACAUGGGCACUAGCACUGCAGCACAACAAGCGUGAACGUGCAUUCCAGCAUGAGCUAACAGCAGGGUCGUGGAUCUGGAUUACUGGGGGAGGGGAAAUAUGGUGGCACAAAGCACCACGCACACAACCACUGGAAACAUGAACAACAUUUUGUGUAUGCAACACCCUGGGUUGACGCAGGAGAAGACUAGUGAGCUUCAGCGGGACCUCCUGAUGGGCGAGCAUGACAUACAGGAGGAGUGGGAUGGGAGUCCACAGACAGCUCAGUGACCUCAUUGUGACAGUAGGAGCAGACACACAGGGACACUACAACACGGAACAUUUAAUUCCCCCCAGAAAUCUCCGGGAACUUGCAGAAGGAGCGGGCACUCCGCACCACGCGCCUCAGGACAAGACAUGUGACUUGCUUUGCUCUCCGGAGCAGAGCGCCAUUGAAAGGAUUGAUAACUGGAGUGGCGUUAAGUGUUGAGGAGGACAAACUGAAAUGGAAGAUUCCUGGUGUCUGUGACGGCCGCCGUUUGCUGCGACUCAGACCCAGUGGAGAGCGUGGUGAAACACAGAAGAUACUGUCUGCUAAGUUUUGAUGCAAAGUCUUUACCUGACAACGUCAAGUUAGGAUUUGUCAGUUAUCCCGUGAGACUUUUUGUCCCGAAUCAAUUACAGUGUUUUCAUUUCAAGUUGUAUUAGUUGUAUGCAGGGGAUACACAGCAGGUCCGUUCUCGACCAUGCAACAUCUAUUGGUAGAUGGGUAUGAAUUUAAAAAAAACACAUUGAAUAUCCCUUUGAGCAUGGUGAAGUUAUUAAUUGCACUUUGGAUGGUGUAUCAAUACACCCAGUCACUACAAAGAUACGGGCGUCCUUCCUAACUCAGUUGCUGGAGAGGAAGGAAACCACUCAGGGAUUUCACCAUGAGCCCAAUGGUGACUUUAAAACAGUUACAGAGUUUAAUGGCUGUGAUAGGAGAAAACUGAGGAUGGAUCAACAACCUUGUAGUUACUCUACAAUACUAACCUAAUCGACAGAGUGAAAAGAAUUGUACAGAAUAAAAAAAAUCCAAAGCAUGCAUCCUGUUUACAAUAAGGCACUAAAGUAAUACUGCAAAAAAUUUGUCAAAAAAUGGGGCAAAUCCAUCAAAACACAUCACUGAGUAUCACACUUCAUAUUUUCAAGCAUGGUGGUGGCUGCAUCAUGUUAUGGGUCUGCUUGUCAUCAGCAAGGACUAUGGAAAUAUCCUAGAGGAAAACCUAGUUCAGUCUGCUUUCUAACAGACACUGGAAGACAAAUUCAGCUUUGAGCAGGACAAUAACCUAAAACAAGGCCAAAUAUACACUGGAAUUGCUUACCAAGACAACAUUGAAUGUUCCUGGGUGGCCUAGUUACAGUUUUCACUUAUUAAAUCAGCUUGAAAAUAUAUAGCAAGACUUGAAAAUGGCUGUCUAGCAAUGAUCAACAACCAACUUGAUAGAGUUUGGUGUGCAAAACACUUAGAUACUUACCCAGAAAGAGUCACAGCUGUGAUCGCUGCCAAAGGUGAUUCUAACAUGUGUUGACUCAGGGGGUUGAAUACUUACAUAAUCAAGAUACUGUAUUUUAGUGUUUUAUUUUUUAUUUAAUCUUUACAAAUGUAUAGAUUGCUGACUUUGUAACACAACAAAAUGUGGAAAAAGUCAAGGGGUGUGAGUACUUCCUGAAGGCACUGUAGGGCCAAGUAGUGGAAUAGUGGUUAGAUUUUAAUGGGUGUAGGAUUUUUCUUACCUUUUCCCUUCCCUUUUGUGUCACUAGCUAGGUUUCCAUCCAAUUCGCAACAGAUUUUCAUGCAAAUAUUCUAAAAUCUGCAAAAAACAAUAUGCGCAUUUUCCCACCAGCGAUGUGUUUCCAUCAAACAGACUUUUUACUGAUAAAAGGCUGUACGUCAUGACGCAGUGCACAUAAAAAUAACUUUUGCUGGUUCAAUUCCCAUGUACCAAAUUAAAAAUACAAGUUAAAUGUGUUUCCAUCGCAUUUUCAGCUCUACUGUCACAAAAACUGUUGUGUUUUAUAGCAAAUGUGCUCUGGUUUUGGCACCUGUGCUCUAGCCAAUAGCUCGCAAAUACAGUGCAGGUAGGUUACCUAUAUAGAGGUGGCAGCGUAGCCUAGUGGUUCGAGCGUUGAACUAGUAACCGAAAGGUUGACAAGAUCAAAUCCCCAAGCUGACAAGGUACAAAUCUGCUGUUCUGCCCCUGAACAAGGCAGUUAACCCACUGAUCCUAGGCUGUCAUUGAAAAUAAGAAUUUGUUCUUAACUGACUUGCCUAGUUAAAUAGAAAAUUAUGAGAUUAUUUGUAUUUGUCAAACGGCAGCCAGGCAUCGAUCAUCAUGUCACCAGAAUAAGACCCUCGGUAUUUAUUGGAAUGGAGCAUCAAGCUCAU
rnacentral:lncRNA from 1 species